UACGUAGGUGACCAGCGUUGUCCGGAUUUACUGGGCGUAAAGAGCGCGCAGGCGGUCGUUCAAGUCGAGUGUGAAAGCCCCCGGCUCAACUGGGGAGGGUCAUUCGAUACUGAUCGACUCGAAGGCAGGAGAGGGAAGUGGAAUUCCCGGUGUAGUGGUGAAAUGCGUAGAUAUCGAGAGGAACACCAGUGGCGAAGGCGAGUCUCUGGACGACUCCUGACACUGAGGCACGAAAGCUAGGGGAGCAAACAGG
rnacentral:rRNA from 1 species